GCACUGCGUAUGCUAUACAUGCAGUCGAGCGAAUGGAUUGAGAGCUUGCUCUCAUGAAGUUAGCGGCGGACGGGUGAGUAACACGUGGGUAACCUGCCCAUAAGACUGGGAUAACUCCGGGAAACCGGGGCUAAUACCGGAUAACAUUUUGAACUGCAUGGUUCGAAAUUGAAAGGCGGCUUCGGCUGUCACUUAUGGAUGGACCCGCGUCGCAUUAGCUAGUUGGUGAGGUAACGGCUCACCAAGGCAACGAUGCGUAGCCGACCUGAGAGGGUGAUCGGCCACACUGGGACUGAGACACGGCCCAGACUGAUACGUGAGGCAGCAGUAGGGAAUCCUCCCGCAAUGGACGAAGUGUGACGGAACGGAGCCGCGUCUCUGAUUGAGGUGAUGAGGCCGUUCGAGUCGUUAGAUUCUGUUGUUCAAGGGAGAACUAAUGCUAGUGGUAUCAGCUCGCACCUUGACCGGUACCUACCCAGAAAGACCACGGCUACCUACGUGCCAGCAGCCGCGGUAAUACGUAGGUGGGGAGCGUUAUCCCGUAUUAUUGGGGCGUAAAGCGCGCGCAGGGUGGUUUCUUAAGUCUGAUGUGAAAGCCCGACGGCUCUAACCAGUGGAGGGGUCAUUGGGAAACAAGGGAGACUUUGAGUGCAGAAGAGGAAAGUGGAAUUGCCAUGUGUAGCAGGUGAAAUGCUGUAGAGAUAUGGAGGAACACCAAGUGGCGAAGGCGACUUUCUGGUCUGUAACUGACACUGAGGCGCGAAAGCGUGGGGAGCAAACAGGAUUAGAUACCCCUGGUAGUCCACGCCGUAAACGAUGAGUGCUAAGUGUUAGAGGGUUUCCGCCCUUUUAGUGCUGAAGUUAACGCAUUAAGCACUCCGCCUGGGGAGUACGGCCGCAACGGCUGAACCUCAAGGGAAUUGACGGGGAGCCCGCACAAGCGGUGGUAGCAUGUGGUUUCAUUCGAAGCAUCGCGAAGAGCCUUACAAGGUCUUGACAUCCUCUGAAAGCCAUAGAGAUAGGGCUGCUCUUUCGGGAGCAGAGUGACAGGGGGUGCAUGAUCGUCGUCAGCUCGUGUCAUGAGAUGUUGGGUUAAGUCCCGCACCGAGCGCUACCAAUGACCAUAGUUGCGGUAAUUACGUUGCAUCACUAUACGGCAACUGCGGGUGACAAACCGAACGGAGGGGGAUACUCAAUCAGUUCAUGCCCCUUAUGACCUGGGCUACACACGUGCUACAAUGGACGGUACAAAGAGCUGCAAGACCGCGAGGUGGAGCUAAUCUCAUAAAACCGUUCUCAGUUCGGAUUGUAGGCUGCAACUCGCCUACAUGAAGCUGGAAUCGCUAGUAAUCGCGGAUCAGCAUGCCGCGGUGAAUACGUUCCCGGGCCUUGUACACACCGCCCGUCACACCACGAGAGUUUGUAACACCCGAAGUCGGUGGGGUAACCUUUUUGGAGCCAGCCGCCUAAGGUGGGACAGAUGAUUGGGGCGAAGUCGAACAAUGCAGACCUCC
rnacentral:rRNA from 1 species